rnacentral:rRNA from 1 species
GGCGCACGGGUGAGUAACACGUAGGUAAUCUACCUCUGGGUGGGGAAUAACAGCCGGAAACGGCUGCUAAUACCGCAUAAUGCAGCGGCUCGACAUCGAGACAGUUGUUAAAGCGGGGGCUUGUCUUCGGACAACCUCGCGCCUGAAGAGGAGCCUGCGGCAGAUUAGCUAGUUGGCAGGGUAAUGGCCUACCAAGGCGACGAUCUGUAACCGGCCUGAGAGGGCGGUCGGUCACACUGACACUGACAUACGGGUCAGACUCCUACGGGAGGCAGCAGUCGGGAAUUUUGGGCAAUGGGCGAAAGCCUGACCCAGCAACGCCGCGUGAAGGAUGAAAUCCCUCGGGAUGUAAACUUCGUAAGAACAGGAAGAAUAAGUAGAAGCCAAUACCUUCUAUGAUGACGGUACUGUUUGUAAGCUCCGGCUAACUCCGUGCCAGCAGCCGCGGUAAUACGGGGGGAGCAAGCGUUGUUCGGAUUUACUGGGCGUAAAGGGCGCGUAGGCGGCGUGACAAGUCACUUGUGAAAUCUCCGGGCUUAACUCGGAACGGUCAAGUGAUACUGUCGUGCUAGAGUACAGAAGGGGCAACUGGAAUUCUCGGUGUAGCGGUGAAAUGCGUAGAUAUCGAGAGGAACACCUGCGGCGAAGGCGGGUUGCUGGGCUGAUACUGACGCUGAGGCGCGAAAGCUAGGGGACGA